rnacentral:rRNA from 1 species
UACGGAGGGUGCAAGCGUUAUUCGGAAUUACUUUUCUUAAAUCGCACGCAGGCGGUCUGUCAAGUCGGAUGUGAAAUCCCCGGGCUCAACCUGGGAACUGCAUUCGAAACUGGCAGGCUAGAGUCUUGUAGAGGGGGGUAGAAUUCCAGGUGUAGCGGUGAAAUGCGUAGAGAUCUGGAGGAAUACCGGUGGCGAAGGCGGCCCCCUGGACAAAGACUGACGCUCAGGUGCGAAAGCGUGGGGAGCAAACAGGAUUAGAUACCCUGGUAGUCCACGCCGUAAACGAUGUCGAUUUGGAGGUUGUGCCCUUGAGGCGUGGCUUCCGGAGCUAACGCGUUAAAUCGACCGCCUGGGGAGUACGGCCGCAAGGUUAAA